GACGUAGGGCGCGAGCGUUGUCCGGAUUUAUUGGGCGUAAAGAGCUCGUAGGCGGUUUGUCGCGUCUGCUGUGAAAACCCGAGGCUCAACCUCGGGCCUGCAGUGGGUACGGGCAGACUAGAGUGCGGUAGGGGAGAUUGGAAUUCCUGGUGUAGCGGUGGAAUGCGCAGAUAUCAGGAGGAACACCGAUGGCGAAGGCAGAUCUCUGGGCCGUAACUGACGCUGAGGAGCGAAAGCAUGGGGAGCGAACAGG
rnacentral:rRNA from 1 species